rnacentral:rRNA from 1 species
GACGUAGGGUCCGAGCGUUGUCCGGAAUUAUUGGGCGUAAAGGGCUCGUAGGCGGUUUGUCGCGUCGGGAGUGAAAACGCCGGGCUUAACCCGGUGCUUGCUUUCGAUACGGGCAGACUGGAGGUAUGCAGGGGAGAACGGAAUUCCUGGUGUAGCGGUGAAAUGCGCAGAUAUCAGGAGGAACACCGGUGGCGAAGGCGGUUCUCUGGGCAACAACUGACGCUGAGGAGCGAAAGCGUGGGGAGCGAACAGG